rnacentral:pre_miRNA from 1 species
AGAGUAGAUUUGAGCCAGGGAUGACUUGCCGGCAUCCUGCCUGAAAAGCAAGGGAUGUUGUCUUGCUGGCAGGUUGUCCUUGGUUCAUGUUUGCUCUCU